UACGUAGGGUGCGAGCGUUGUCCGGAAUUACUGGGCGUAAAGAGCUCGUAGGUGGUUUGUCGCGUUGUCCGUGAAAACUCACAGCUCAACUGUGGGCGUGCGGGCGAUACGGGCAGACUGGAGUACUGCAGGGGAGACUGGAAUUCCUGGUGUAGCGGUGGAAUGCGCAGAUAUCAGGAGGAACACCGGUGGCGAAGGCGGAUCUCUGGGCCUUACCUGACGCUCAGGUGCGAAAGCUAGGGGAGCGAACAGG
rnacentral:rRNA from 1 species